rnacentral:piRNA from 1 species
UUCAUGCUUCUCUGGACAGUGCCCUCCCCCCC